rnacentral:rRNA from 1 species
UACGAAGGGGGCUAGCGUUGCUCGGAAUCACUGGGCGUAAAGCGCACGUAGGCGGAUCUUUAAGUCAGGGGGUGAAAUCCUGGAGCUCAACUCCAGAACUGCCUUUGAUACUGAGAAGCUCGAGUCCGGGAGAGGUGAGUGGAACUGCGAGUGUAGAGGUGAAAUUCGUAGAUAUUCGCAAGAACACCAGUGGCGAAGGCGGCUC